rnacentral:misc_RNA from 1 species
UUGAUUCUUGUGUAUGAUUCAGACGACACACGGAUUUAUGCAUAAAAGCGGCGCCCCCGGGAGGACGCCGAAGCACAUUUUUAGCUUCCACAGGUUUGAGGGGUAGAAGGUCAAAGACCAUUCAAUAAUGAUCCCUCCGCAGGUUCACCUACGGAGA